rnacentral:rRNA from 1 species
AGCAGCCGCGGUAAUUCCAGCUCCAAUAGCGUAUAUUAAAGUUGUUGCAGUUAAAAAGCUCGUAGUUGAAUUUUAGGCCUGGCCGGGCGGUCCGUCUUUGGCGAGUACUGUCCUGUGUCGGGUCUUCCUUCUGGUGAACCAGUAUGUCCUUUAUUGGGUGUGCCGGGGAGCCAGGACCAUUACCUUGAAAAAAUUAGAGUGUUUAAAGCGGGCAUUUGCUUGAAUAGAUUAGCAUGGAAUAAUAGAAUAGGACGUUGUGGUUCUAUUUUGUUGGUUUCUAGGACCACCGUAAUGAUUAAUAGGGAUAGUUGGGGGCAUUAGUAUUCAAUUGUCAGAGGUGAAAUUCUUGGAUUUAUUGAAGACUAACUAUUGCGAAAGCAUUUGCCAAGGAUGUUUUCAUUAAUCAAGAACGAAAGUUAGGGGAUCGAAGACGAUCAGAUACCGUCGUAGUCUUAACCAUAAACUAUGCCGACUAGGAAUCGGGCGACGUUAUUUUCAUGACUCGC